AUGAACGCUAGCGACAGGCCUAACACAUGCAAGUCGAGGGGCAGCGAAGAGGUAGCAAUACCUUUGUCGGCGACCGGCGCACGGGUGAGUAACACGUAUGCAAUCCACCUGUAACAGGGGGAUAACCCGGAGAAAUCCGGACUAAUACCCCAUAAUAUGGACGCUCCGCAUGGAGGGUCCAUUAAAGAGAGCAAUUUUGGUUACAGACGAGCAUGCGCUCCAUUAGCCAGUUGGCGGGGUAACGGCCCACCAAAGCGACGAUGGAUAGGGGUUCUGAGAGGAAGGUCCCCCACAUUGGAACUGAGACACGGUCCAAACUCCUACGGGAGGCAGCAGUGAGGAAUAUUGGUCAAUGGUCGGCAGACUGAACCAGCCAAGUCGCGUGAGGGAAGACGGCCCUACGGGUUGUAAACCUCUUUUGUCGGAGAGUAAAGUACGCUACGUGUAGUGUAUUGCAAGUAUCCGAAGAAAAAGCAUCGGCUAACUCCGUGCCAGCAGCCGCGGUAAUACGGAGGAUGCAAGCGUUAUCCGGAUUUAUUGGGUUUAAAGGGUGCGUAGGCGGCACGCCAAGUCAGCGGUGAAAUUUCCGGGCUCAACCCGGAAUGUGCCGUUGAAACUGGCGAGCUAGAGUGCACAAGAGGCAGGCGGAAUGCGUGGUGUAGCGGUGAAAUGCAUAGAUAUCACGCAGAACCCCGAUUGCGAAGGCAGCCUGCUAGGGUGCGACAGACGCUGAGGCACGAAAGCGUGGGUAUCGAACAGGAUUAGAUACCCUGGUAGUCCACGCCGUAAACGAUGACUGCUAGGUGUCGGGUGGCAAAGCCAUUCGGUGCCGCAGCUAACGCAAUAAGCAGUCCACCUGGGGAGUACGUUCGCAAGAAUGAAACUCAAAGGAAUUGACGGGGACCCGCACAAGCGGUGGAGCAUGUGGUUUAAUUCGAAGCAACGCGAAGAACCUUACCAGGUCUUGACAUCCUUUGACCACUCUAGAGAUAGAGCUUCCCCUUCGGGGGCAAAGUGACAGGUGGUGCAUGGUUGUCGUCAGCUCGUGCCGUGAGGUGUCGGCUUAAGUGCCAUAACGAGCGCAACCCCUAUCGACAGUUACUAACGGGUGAAGCCGAGGACUCUGUCGAGACUGCCGGCGCAAGCCGCGAGGAAGGUGGGGAUGACGUCAAAUCAGCACGGCCCUUACGUCCGGGGCGACACACGUGUUACAAUGGCAGGUACAGAAGGCAGCCAGUCAGCAAUGACGCGCGAAUCCCGAAAACCUGUCUCAGUUCGGAUUGGAGUCUGCAACCCGACUCCAUGAAGCUGGAUUCGCUAGUAAUCGCGCAUCAGCCAUGGCGCGGUGAAUACGUUCCCGGGCCUUGUACACACCGCCCGUCAAGCCAUGGAAGCCGGGAGUACCUGAAGCAUGCAACCGCAAGGAGCGUACGAAGGUAAUACCGGUAACUGGGGCU
rnacentral:rRNA from 1 species